AUUGAACGCUGGCGGCAGGCUUAACACAUGCAAGUCGAACGAGUGGCGGACGGGUGAGUAAUGUCUGGGACACUGCCUGAUGGAGGGGGAUAACUACUGGAAACGGUAGCUAAUCCCGCAUACCAUCAGAUGUUCCCAGAUGGGAUUAGCUAGUAGGUGGGGUAAAGGCUCACCAAGGCGACGAUCCCUAGCUGGUCUGAGAGGAUGACCAGCCACACUGGAACUGUGACACGGUCCAGACUCCUACGGGAGGCAGCAGUGGGGAAUAUUGCACAAUGGGCGCAAGCCUGAUGCAGCCAUGCCGCGUGUGUGAAGAAGGCCUUCGGGUUGUAAAGCACUUUCAGCGAGGAGGCGUUACUCGCAGAAGAAGCACCGGCUAACUCCGUGCCAGCAGCCGCGGUAAUAC
rnacentral:rRNA from 1 species